UACAGAGGUCUCGAGCGUUGUUCGGAUUCAUUGGGCGUAAAGGGUGCGUAGGUGGCGUGGUAAGUCUGGUGUGAAAUCCCGGGGCUCAACCCCCGGAACUGCACUGGAUACUGCCAUGCUUGAGUACUGGAGAGGAGAUUGGAAUUUACGGUGUAGCAGUGAAAUGCGUAGAUAUCAGGAGGAACACCGGUGGCGAAGGCGGGUCUCUGGGCCGAUACUGACGCUGAGGAGCGAAAGCAUGGGGAGCGAACAGG
rnacentral:rRNA from 1 species